CCUACGGGAGGCAGCAGUGAGGAAUAUUGGUCAAUGGACGAGAGUCUGAACCAGCCAAGUAGCGUGAAGGAUGACUGCCCUAUGGGUUGUAAACUUCUUUUAUAUGGGAAUAAAAUGUUCCACGUGUGGGAUUUUGUAUGUACCAUAUGAAUAAGGAUCGGCUAACUCCGUGCCAGCAGCCGCGGUAAUACGGAGGGUCCGAGCUUUAUCCGGAUUUAUUGGGUUUAAAGGGAGCGUAGGUGGAUUGUUAAGUCAGUUGUGAAAGUUUGCGGCUCAACCGUAAAAUUGCAGUUGAAACUGGCAGUCUUGAGUACAGUAGAGGUGGGCGGAAUUCGUGGUGUAGCGGUGAAAUGCUUAGAUAUCACGAAGAACUCCGAUUGCGAAGGCAGUUCACUGGACUGCAACUGACACUGAGGCUCGAAAGUGUGGGUAUCAAACAGGAUUAGAUACCCGGGUAGUC
rnacentral:rRNA from 1 species